ensembl:lncRNA
CAGAGAUUGAAUGUUCUGAAAAAGAUUUGGCACAGAACCUUGAAGCAGAACAAAUCCACCCUCCUCCACACACACACACACACACACACUCGUCCUGCCACACACACAGACACACACCCCUAUGACAUGUUCCUCCAGUGUUAAUACGCACAUCUGUGAUUAUAACAGGUUAAAACACAGUCUUAAGAAACAAUCACAAGAACAACCAUAGUCAAUAUUGCAGAAGAAAAGCCGAAGCGAAACAAAGAAGCAGAUGGAGGCCAUGUUUAAUUGAACAGAGGGAAGGAAAUAUCAGAAGCCUUGGUUUGUUGUGAGUUUGUUUUCCAUUUUCCUGAGAGGAUCGGGGUGGUGCAGAGGGGGCUAACGGGAGCGUGUUUGUGUGGAUCAAGGGGUUAAUACAGAAUCACGACUUGACAUCUAGCUGCAGGGGGGUGAAAAAUGGCAGAAGGGGAAGGUGGGAGGGGUGAAACAGGAAGCAUGAGGUAGAUAGAGAAGAGCAGAGGAGGAGGAGGAGGAGGAGGAGGAGGAGAGCAGGAGGGUGUAGGGGAUGAGAAGCACGAGAGGAGGAAAAAGGGGGGGAUAAUGCAAGACGGACUCCUGAGAGCAAGCGAGCGUAUGUAUGCAUGUGUGUGUGACUCAGAGGGAGAGGCCGUGACUGAGGCUUUAGCUACAUAUCUGAAGGAGAGGGUGAGAAAAAAGGCAGGGAAGCAGGAGAAGUGAGCCGUGCUCCUCCUCGGCCUCCCCUGGGUCGGGGACAGAGAGGAGUCAUUUCCCCUCCGGCGCUGGGUGACAUAUAAGCACCGCGGCGGCCUUUCCUCCUUCAUGUCUUCAUCCCUGCCACACACAGAUACACAAACAGAGAUACCACUCGAGUGCACGCACACGCAGCCCAUUCGGACGUAUGCAUAAAUAUGCACACUUACGCCACUCAUGCAGACAUUACACAAGCCUCUGUGCAAGUCCCAUAUUGCGUUCAUGCACACACACAUGCAAACGCACAUGUAGACUGAAACCUACACAGAUAUGGAGUGACAGGAUGUCUCUCAGUGUCAUCUUUCAUUCCUCCUGUCAUCUUUGUCUCUUCUCAGUCUAUCUGUCCUUUCUGCUUCUCUAUUUCUGUCUGCCCUGUCCUCCCUUGUCACUCUAUUUCCUUUGGGCUCAGAGGAUGGGCGAGCCUGAGGCGACAGAAGCUGUUGCGUGGUAGGCUGGCUCUGGUGCCCUGUAAAUGUGGCACAGCCAUGUCGGGCCGCACACAAACAGCUCGUGCACAACUGAGGGCACCGUCUGAAAGUCGCCUGUAGCCGUGCGUGAGAAUUAGGGGUAAAAAUUGUAAGGUUAGUGUCACAUUGACUAUGAGCUGGGAUGGGAGCCGACGUGAAAUGAGGGUACUGAGGGCCAGACGGGAUAAAUAAAUCAGCACCAAUGAGAAAAAGCAGCAUGCCUCACUGGCUGACAUGUGGGGGUGGAGACAAGAAAGGAUAAAGAAAAAUCAAUAUCUCCAGUAAAAGUAUCUUUCAUAUUGAUGACUGUUUACAACCGUUUCCUGCCUUUUUUUAAAAAUAAAAAACUUCUUACACUGAGGAAACUGCAGGUCGGAUUCAAAGCUCAGCUGGGGAGGCUUAUCUGGGUCAGAGCUGACUUGUGCUCUAGUUUCACCUUUCAGAGACCCAACAACUCCCGACCCUCAAAGCUGACAUCCGGCGAGGGUUUUGACCUCAUGUCCUCUGGGCUUCUGCCACCUCAGUAGACAGAUAACAGUUAGACAGCUCUAUUAUCAAACCAGCAGCUUAUAUACAUAUGGCUGUCGCUAUCUCUUCACUACGCUCCAUAAGGUGCUCCAACCAGACCUGAAUUUACACUUCAAAGCGUUGAAAUGUGCUCUAUGGCCCCUGCCCAGCUUCAAACAAACAUCAGACACAGCGGAGUAUGAUUAUGAUGCUGAGCCAAGGUACCCAUAAACAGUAAAUCUGGAAGCUGGAUGGCUGUGGAUGGCCUGGAAUGUGUGUUUGGAAACUUAACUGUGAGUCGGUCCGCUGAGAGUCGCACAGCAGCUGGGUCAGCACAUUCUUUAAUAGUCAGGACAUUCCAAUACAAGUCCCCGAGUCCGCACACAUCACAAAACUGGAGGAGAGUUUUCUACAGCGCUCCGGGGCAUGAAGUCGCUCCAGAAGUACGCUUCCAAAUCCCAACACGGGCCGCGACAUCCCAGAUUGUUCUCAAAACACAAAUCCGUAUUUGAAAGCGCAAUAUGGUCGCUGUCGGGUGAAAAACCUUGCACGGCCCCAAAUGUCAGCCUUUCAAGAUCUAAGACAAGCAGGCUGCUUUUGAACUUGUCACACCAAGAUGUUUUUAGUUCACUCCAUGGAGUUCUGAAAGGGUUUUACCGGCACAAAAGGGCUGCAGAGUCUCAAAGUCUCACAAACACAAAACUCCACUGAUGUUCAAAAUUGGACUUACAAGAUUUUCACGUGACAAUAAUGAUAUUCUGCUUCAUAAAGCAUUCAUGAGAAGCUCUGUAUUGAGCAGUGCUCCAACUUUACUAUUCCCAUUAAUCGGUGCUUUACAAUUACAUGGGCUGUGAGCGUGUCCCAUUUUACUAUUUCAGCGUCUUCAGUGGAUUUUUCUCAGUUUUCUUCAGUGCUGCAGCUCUGAGGCCUUUUGACCUACAGCUGAGUGACACAGAGGAGAUAGUCAUCUGGGAUGAAACACCACUCAUCACUCUCACAUCACAGACCACACACACUGACAGCCCCCUCCGACUCCAUGUGGCUCAAAGCUCACGAGAAGACCAAAAUGGACAUCUUGCGACCAACUGGCCACACGGUUUCCAAGGCAACAAGGAAAUAAGCCAUAUGCUAAUGCGGUGGCCAUUCUCAAAUUAAGGACACCUUCACAGGGUAUAAAGCACACGAGGCAGCAGUUGAGAGGUCUGCAUUAACUGCCAAUGCAAAUUGUUUAAGAAAGCUCCAGCUCAGUCAAUAAAUCACUCAGUCAGCCGGCGUCAGGGAGCGAACACGCAUGCGUGAGUCUUACAUACGCUGGUGUGGUCAGGUCUGAUGAGUGGCCGCGGGGCAGGGUUUUCACAGUGAUGACACAGAAAAAUGUCUGUGCACAUUUCAUCUCAAGCUCCAGCAGAAAGACAUCGCAGUGACAAAAAAAAUGAAAAAUUCUCUCAUAAUGUGACAAAACAGAAUGACCCGGACGUCUGAAAAACUGGUGCCAUCAACUCGGCCUUAGACCAGUGUGAUGGUGAUGAAAGCAGCCCCUGACUGCCAAGCAUCCCACAGCUGAGGCGUAGCGGAGCGCAGUGAGGCUGCUGCUGCUGCUGCUGCUGCUGGGCAGGGGGAGGCUCUGUGACACAGUGGCACACAAAACACUGCUGCACUCAUCACAAUAACACAGCAGCCAUCAUGUGAGGAGGCAGCGACUGGCUCUCGUGGACCGUCUUGAUGGCCGCGUGAAAAAUAACAGCAAUAACCAUACGCAUAAAUUACAGCCGGUUUGUUGCUUUUGGCCUCUGCAAUGUGGAGAAAAUUAGCACCGGUGCCUAAGCGCAUGCAUCAUUGACACCAUACAUAUCAAUAAUGCAUUGACCUCUGCUGUCACUUCACCGCUAUUUUUAAAAGUAGGGGUGACAGAAGAGAAAUUAAGCUGCAUGGAGCUCACUUAGAGCUUGUAGUGCUGAGGUUAACAUGUGUGCAGUCUCGCCCUCGGAGACCGGCUCGAAUAUGGUCGCGGUGUUCCUAACGCUGCCCGCCGCAGCGAGCGGCAGAUUGAACCUGGAAUGCCCUCAUAUCUGCGAUUACACGAACCUCACCCACCAUAAGCCAGCAGCCCCAAAUAGUUUCAUGUGCAUCAUUACGAUUAUGACUAAAAGUCGCAUCACCGUCAAGGCGAUUAACCACAAAUACAGCCCCCUGAAAAUGCACAUUUAAAAUCACUUAAGCUUCGCCAACAGGUGUUAUUCUCUUAUAUAGCCGAGCCAGGGCAAAACAAUAAAAAUAAAUGGCACAAUCCAGAAUGCUAACUUUGAUUAGCUGAUGUGAGGUAAACAAAAAGCUGCCACUAGACUCGACCCCUGACCCCUCGGCCUGCGGUGGCACAUUGACAGAGCUGGAAGAGGCUCGGGAAGUUCUUUUGAAAGCAGAGGUCGGCCUGAUUGAGCAGACUUUUCAUCAGUUGGGUUUAUCCCAGUAUGCAGAGAAAGAGAGAGAGGAGGGAGGGAGCUGCUUAAGCGAGGAAAAAAAAUCCAGUUUUUACUUUAAGUGUCAGUGAGAGGAUCAUAAAAGUAGCCUGAAGCAGAGGGAGACAGACAGAGCUGGUUUAAACUGGGGAUUUAAAAUGGAGGUCUGACCACCCCUCCUCCCUCUUCCCCUCCUUAUACAACCGAGCGAGCGUAAACCCACCUGAACACACACACACAUGCGCACGCACGCACACACACACCGGGCACAAUCGCAUCAACAAUGGUGUAACAUCUUUUGCCAUAAACAGCGUAGCGCUUGAAAUGUCCUGAUUUCUUUGCCUUAUACAACAGUACAACAGGCAUUUUAUAAUCCAGAGCUGCACAUGCAAUAAAACACCCAAACACGCACACACACACACAGACACACACACACCCAUAUUCUGGUGUUUUUCACCUAUUCCCUGAAUGGGUGAAUGAGCGGGUCCCUUCCUGCACAGUAAACACAGCAUUUCCAUUAGAUUGUUAGGAGUGUGUUCAGUGCUCUGUGACUCAGACACUGCAGCACUGUGACUGUGUGUCUCCAGCUCAACUGCUGCUCUCUCUAACACCAAGCCUCAAUAACAUGGCCUCUGGUUUGUGCCACUUCACAGGAGCUAUAGGGGCUACACAAUGCUUUCCAAAGAGAUGGAGCUACCACAGGCGACAGGCAGGGCAUGCAGUAUCUGAGGAAUUCGGGGUAAAUAGCUGUUUUAACAGUCCUUGCUUUCAGCCGAUGAUGUACACAAAACUGACGCACACUUCACUCUUACCCACAAGCGUGCCUACAUGAUAAUUUCUCUCUUAUUUGCACACACAGAGGCAGAUGAAUAUGUAAAUAACUUGUGAGGGGAAUAUGGAUCCCUUGUGCUGGGAAAGGAAUAUGUUAAUGACCGAUGCAGGGUAUGAGUGUUAAUCACAAGUAUAGGGUGCAUAAAUGUGUUUAGCAAUGGUGUGGGGCCAAUGCAAAUGAAACACAUAGAGGGCAGUGGCAUGUAAAUCGUAUGAUUCACUGACAGAAAGUCGGUGGGGUGAGAAAAAUGGUUUCUGCUGUAAACAAAUCAAAUGCAUUAACGAGGAACAGUACUGGGGGAGAGUCACCUGGUGAAAAGCUGGCAAACGUGGAUGAAUGCUAUACUGUCCUCUCUCGUCUGUUUAGCAUUCGAAACCCAAAUCAAGCCACUGUGAUAAGGGCUGUCGCAGCGGCAACAGUUGCCAGGGAAACCUGAUGGCAGGAUGCUGAGGGUUGGGGGAGGAGGGGAGGAGGGGAGCUUUAUGUGAGGACGCGGGUACAAUGCUCAGGUUGAUUUGCUACCACUGAAGGAACACUGGCCGGCUCGUUGAGAUAUGGCACCUCAAAGGAAAGUGACUGACAAGGGGCAACGGGGCGCCGAUGGUGACGCUCGCUUGGCGCAUUAGACUGAGUGUGUAGUCAUGACAACGAGGUGUUGACAUAGCGCAAUCUGAGCACUGUGAUGGUGAUGACAUUCAGGAAAGUACAGAGCGAGCGUGAGUGAGCUUGUAAACCAGAGCAGGGCCUUUCCUGUCCCCCUGUGCAGAAAAAAAAAAAGGACCCAGUGCUGACCAUUUCACAUUCGCUAUGUCUCAUCUCAAGAAGAGCCAAAGGGAUACAAAC